AGUGAACGCUGGCGGUAGGCCUAACACAUGCAAGUCGAACGGCAGCACAGUAAGAGCUUGCUCUUACGGGUGGCGAGUGGCGGACGGGUGAGGAAUACAUCGGCAUCUACUUUUUCGUGGGGGAUAACGUAGGGAAACUUACGCUAAUACCUCAUACUACCUACGGGUGAAAUCAGGGGAUCUUCGGACCUUUCGCGAUUGAAUGAGCCGAUGUCGGAUUAGCUAGUUGGCGGGGUAAAGGCCCACCAAGGCGACGAUCCGUAGCUGGUCUGAGAGGAUGAUCAGCCACACUGGAACUGAGACACGGUCCAGACUCCUACGGGAGGCAGCAGUGGGGAAUAUUGGACAAUGGGCGCAAGCCUGAUCCAGCAAUACCGCGUGGGUGAAGAAGGCCUUCGGGUUGUAAAGCCCUUUUGUUGGGAAAGAAAAGCAGCAGGUUAAUACCCCGCUGUUCUGACGGUACCCAAAGAAUAAGCACCGGCUAACUUCGUG
rnacentral:rRNA from 1 species